AUCUACGGUCAUAGAAUCGAUAAACCUGUGCAUCCCUUUAGCUCUGCGAAGUUAAGUCCGAUAUCGCUCGAACAAUACCACGGUUGGGGAUAAGUUGGGAUUCUCGAGUGCUGUAGUUG
rfam:Kwoniella mangroviensis CBS 10435 unplaced genomic scaffold supercont2.8, whole genome shotgun sequence.